UGUGUUUUUUACCUUUGUUAUUGUUUCAAAUGCUUUUUUUUAAAAUUAUUUUGCAACUUUUUCAGAAAUAUGCUUUACACCUUUCAAUAUCGAAAAUAAGAGAACACUAUGGCAAUCAUAGUGGUUAUCAAAUUUUACGUAGCAUUCUCUUUUCUAAUUUACAUUACACAUUUUGGCUUAAAGUAACUUUGGCUGUUAAUCUUUUGUAUGAAUUCUACCAUGGAUGACCAUUAUGUGUAGAAAAUAAAAAAAAAACUACAUUUACAUUUUUCAAAAUUCGCUCAGUAUCAUAUAUUUAUAAUUCAUGUCAAAUAGUUCUAAAAUUUCGGUCAUAUUUCUAAGUUUCUAUGUAAGUUCUUCCAUAUCUGGUACAUCUUAUAAAAAUCGUAUUAAUCCACUAACCAACUUUUCUGAUAGGGACUUAACACCAAGCAGAAGGGGUAUAGGUGAUAGGUGGUUACGGUUGUUAUGAAUGGGUGAGAAAGGAAGGUAGAAAAAGUUAAUAAUUUAUUUUUCUUUCUUUUUCCAUCCAUAAUUAGGUCUUUCCAUUUUCCGUGGAAAGACCAAUUGAUUUUAUUCUGAUUAUUAUUUUUUUUUCUUCUGCAAAUUUUAUUCCUUAAAACCAUAAAAGAAAGCGACAAAUUAUUUUUUUCCAAAUUGCUCGUUAUAUCCUCAGGAUUUUUUUAAAAUUCUGACCGAAGCCAUCCGGAGACUAGCCUGGGAUCCUGGCUCAAUGCUCGACAGUAGACAGAUGAGCACGAACGUCAUCAAUUAAGUAGGAACUGCGUGUCAUUCUGGAACAAACGAGCCCCAUGAUUUCUAAGGAUGAUUGGGUUCAUGUUGCUAUCGACGAAGUAUUAGAUUGGGUCAGGAUGCCAGGCUACCGGAGACUCCAUAUAAGAGUUAUUUCCCCUUCUGUAUUUGACGUACGUGAAAUGUAUUUGUAACUGGUAAACCAUAUAUUAUUUAAUCGGUAUACACAAACCUAUCAUUUGAGACCGAAAGUGACCUUUUAAAAACUGGAAGUAGCUUAUUAUCUCCCUUAUUUCAGACAAAAGUAUAUAAACCAUAUAUUUUUUGAAUCAGUAUGAUGAAACCUAUGAUUGGACGCCAAUAGUAACUUUGAGUAACCCGCAGGUAGCUUCUUAUCAAUCAUUUAGAAACUUAAUGUGGAAAGACCUUCAAUUGUUUAGUAUUUUUUUUCCCCAAUUUUAUUUUUUCCGAGUAGUGUUUGUUUCGCAAGAUUUUGCUUAGAUAUUUAGUAUAUGAUAUCACACAGUUUAUACGCUUUUGAAACUGACACCGUUUAACCGAACAUUUUUUCUUGUAAGAGCUAUCUCCCUGAACACUGUUUUGCUCAUUAUCUUUACUACUCCACAACCGUAAAUGAAAGCAACAAUUUUUUUCCUAAUUGCUCAAUAUAUCCUCAGGAAAUUUUGUAAAAUUUUGACCAAAGCGAUACAGAGAUUCCAUAUGAGAGUUAUUCCCCCUUCUGUAUUUGAUAUAAGUGAUAUGUGUUUGUAACUGACAAACCAUAAGAGAUAAAAACCUAGGGUAUUUUAAUUUGAGGUCAUUGCUCCACCAAAAUGAAAUGAGUUAAAGGUCAAGGGUUAAGGUCAUGUUCUAAAUUUUGAUUUUGGCUUUCUAUAUCUUCUCAGAAUCCGUCAAAAAAAACAUCGACAUAAUAUUGAUUAGAGUUUGUUGCUACAUGUCGUAACAGAUAUAUUUUGGUCUAAAAGGCGCAUUGACAUUUAAUUGGAAUUUUCUCUCAAAUAUUUAAAAUCAGCUGUAUUGUGAUAUAACUCAUUAACCAUAUAUAGUAGAGACUAAGGAACCUUUGAUUAAAUGUCCUUGAAAUUCAGGUCAAGGUCGAAUAUAAAUUUGGCGUUCCUAGAUUUUGACCUUUGCUAUAAAUACAUAUUUAUAUAUGAUAAAGCACUGGGAUCUUUUGCAUAAGGUUGGUAGACAUAUAACCUUGAAAAGGUCAGCCAGAAGUGACCUUUUGUUAACAGGAAGUCGCCAUUUCCUGCACCUAUUUCAUUUUAAAGUACAUAGAACCAUAUGUUUUUAAAAUCAGUGUCAAGUAACCUAUGAGAUAAUACCGAAAGUGAAAUUUUUUACACUGGGACAAUUUAUCUCCCUUAUUUGAAACAAAAAUAUAUAGAGACCGUAUAUAUUUGGAAUCAGUAUGAAUAAAGCUAUCUAAUUAGACCGGAAGGAUUUUUUUCUAAAUCAGAAGUAGCAAAUUAUCUCCCUUAUUUCAGACAAAAGUAUAUAGAAACCAUUUAGUUUUUUAAUCAGUUUGAAGAAAUCUAUGAUUGGACGCCAAUAGUAACUUUGAGUAAGCCGCAGGUAGUUUCUUGUCGAUUAUUCAGAAAUUCAAUGUGGAAAGACCCGUAUUUGUUUUCUGAACAAUUUGUUUUUAAUUAUUUUGUUUUUUUCUGCUUUGUAUCGAUCUGAUGAGUUAAUAGAAAUAAGAUGUGGUAUGAGUGCCAAUGAGACAACUCUCCAUCCAAGUCACAAUGUGUAAAAAGUAAACAAUUAUAGGUCAAAGUAUAAGCCCUUUUCAACCGAUUUUUAUAGUUUGUUCUUAUGUUGUGAUGUAACACUAGUGUCCCAGGUAAGUGAAGGGUGGAGCGCUCAAACAUGUUUAACCCCGCCUCAUUCUGUAUGUGCCUGUCCCAAGUCAGGAGCCUGUAGUUCAGCGGUUGUCGUUGGUUCAUGUCUGUCAUAUUUGUUUUACUUCUUUUUCACAAAGUAAUCCACCAACUAAUUGCAAUCCCAAUUCUAGAACAACGAAAACAUAGCUUCUUCGUAAGAACCAUUACAAACUGGAAUGAUCUACCGCCUAGCCUAUUGGCCAUUCAUGACUAUGAGGCAUUUAAGACCUACUUCAUAGCACACAUAUAUCCGUAAACACACACAUAAUGUUUUUAUCUGCACUGGCACCUAGCCACUUAUGGUAUAGAUAUGUAUAUAUAUAUAUGUUAAACACCUGUACAUAUGCAUUUUGGAUGACACUACAACAACUUUAUUUUCAACAUAUUUGUUGUGACGUCAAUCGACUCUUUACGGAUUCCCAUGUGGAUGUAGAUGUUUUAACUUAUAAAAAAAUAAUAAUAAUUGACCGAAACACAAAACGUUAAAAGAUCUUUCUACGGUAUUUAAAUGAUAUCAAUGCGUUGAAUACAUCUAUCUUUAAUUUACGAGCGUUAACCCAUUAUUAUUUGAUAUCCUGAUUGAAAUAAGAAUUCAACAAAACUUUUGUACUACGGCAGUAUCAAGAAACUUAUCAUAACUAUAUCUGUUUCAAACUAUCGCUUAGGUCCAUAUAUAUGCAAUGGAGACACAAUGAAUAUAAGACUUGAUGACAGACUAUGUGCAUGGUAAGUCAGAAAAAUGUCGAUCUUCGCACGCUAAAUACUCAAUUGCAGAUUGUAAACGAGUAUCAACACCGUGAUUAUCUGCCUUCUACUUAUUUUAUUUUCGGAUUGCAGUGAAAAAACGUUGUCCAACAGUGCUUUGUUUUCAAUAUUCUAUUAAUUAAUUAUGAAUAUGAUAUUGAGUAUUGGACAAAUCCAAAAUAGAAAUCAAGGGAUUGGUACCUCAGCUAUUCAUCUUUUGUUUAAAGGAAUUUAAAUCAUGCAAAAUCAUUAUGGAUAUUUAAAUGUGUUGAUUAAUCAUUUGACUUCUUUCAUGUGCAUGACACAUAUUUUGAUAGAUUAUCCUUCACAAAGAAAAUUCAAUGUUCUUUGAAGAAAUCGAAGAAAUUAGUCAACGUUAAGGAACUGAAAUCAGUGGAUAUGAAUUUUCGACAAGUUCAACAAGUUCUUCUACUGUUAUUGGAAUUUAAAGUUUUAUUUGGACAGUUGAAUAUAACAAGUUAUGGAUCCCUUUCUGUUGGCUCAAGUAUUUCCUUAAACUGUGAUAUACAAUCGUUUACAUCGGCUGCCUCGUGGACCAGAAAUGUAACCAUUUUGACAGAAUGUUCCAAUACUGGUUUCUGCACAAUCGAAUCAAAGGGAAGCUAUUCGUUUACAGCGAAUUCGACAGGGAUAUCUGUUCGCAUAAGUCCAUUAGAAAUUUCUGAAAAUGAUGUGACUUGGAAAUGUGCCAUUUCGGGAGAGGAAGCAUAUUUUGAAAUAAUAUUACCAUUACCAUCAACCCCGUCAACAGGGGACCAAGACGU